rnacentral:rRNA from 1 species
GAUGAACGCUGGCGGCGUGCCUAAUACAUGCAAGUCGAGCGAACAGAUAAGGAGCUUGCUCCUUUGACGUUAGCGGCGGACGGGUGAGUAACACGUGGGUAACCUACCUAUAAGACUGGAAUAACUCCGGGAAACCGGGGCUAAUGCCGGAUAACAUGUUGAACCGCAUGGUUCUACAGUGAAAGGCGGCUUUGCUGUCACUUAUAGAUGGACCCGCGCCGUAUUAGCUAGUUGGUGAGGUAACGGCUCACCAAGGCAACGAUACGUAGCCGACCUGAGAGGGUGAUCGGCCACACUGGAACUGAGACACGGUCCAGACUCCUACGGGAGGCAGCAGUAGGGAAUCUUCCGCAAUGGGCGAAAGCCUGACGCAGCAACGCCGCGUGAGUGAUGAAGGUCUUCGGAUCGUAAAACUCUGUUAUUAGGGAAGAACAAAUGCGUAAGUAACUGUGCGCGUCUUGACGGUACCUAAUCAGAAAGCCACGGCUAACUACGUG